GGCUUGUUGAUUAUAAUUUCAAGUCAGGCCUGCCCAAUGAGCGUUAAAUGGCUGCGGUAUUUUGACCGUACAAAGGUAGCAUAAUCAUUAGUUUUUUAAUUGAAAGCUGGCAUGAAGGGUUUAAUGAGAGAAUUACUGUCUCUGGAGGAAUUGUAUAGAAUUUUAUUUUUAAGUGAAAAAGCUUAGAUAAGAAUAGAAGACGAGAAGACCCUAUAGAGUUUUAUACUUAUAGACAUGGAGUAGUUUUUAGUAUUAAUAUUAUUUAAUUUUUAGGAGUAUUUUGUUGGGGUGACAGAAAAAUUAACGUAACUUUUUUUGUAUUUUAGCACUGAUUUGUGGGUGGAAGAUCCUUUUAGAGAUUUAAGACUAAAUUACCUUAGGGAUAACAGCGUAAUAUUUCUUAGAGUUCUUAUCGAAAGGAAGGAUUGCGACCUCGAUGUUGGAUUAAAAUAAAUUGUUGGUGUAGGUGCUAACUAAUUAGGUCUGUUCGACCUUUAAAAUUUUACAUGAUCUGAGUUUAGACCGGCGUGAG
rnacentral:rRNA from 1 species